CCCCUCUCAGGGUCGCACCUGAAGAAUUUCCAGUACUUUACCAGUCUCGACUCUGGGAGGGAGAGCCAAGCAGAGGUCUACCCAUUCCAUUUCUAGCUUCGGCAGUGGUUAGUGAGUGGAAGGCAAUCUGCUACAAGU